rnacentral:tRNA from 2 species
AGGCGCAUAGCUCAGUGGGGGAGCGCUACCCUGACACGGUAGAGGUCCGGGGUUCAAAACCCCGUGCGCCUACCA